rnacentral:rRNA from 1 species
ACAGGUGGUGCAUGGUUGUCGUCAGCUCGUGUCGUGAGAUGUUGGGUUAAGUCCCGCAACGAGCGCAACCCUUAUUGUUAGUUGCCAUCAUUCAGUUGGGCACUCUAGCAAGACUGCCGGUGACAAACCGGAGGAAGGUGGGGAUGACGUCAAAUCAUCAUGCCCCUUAUGACCUGGGCUACACACGUGCUACAAUGGGAAGUACAACGAGUCGCGAAGUCGCGAGGCUAAGCUAAUCUCUUAAAGCUUCUCUCAGUUCGGAUUGCAGGCUGCAACUCGCCUGCAUGAAGCCGGAAUCGCUAGUAAUCGCGGAUCAGCACGCCGCGGUGAAUACGUUCCCGGGCCUUGUACACACCGCCCGUCACACCACGAGAGUUUGUAACACCCGAAGUCGGUGAGGUAACCUUUUGGAGCCAGCCGCCUAAGGUGGGAUAGAUGAUUGGGGUGAAGUCGUAACAAGGUAGCCGUAUCGGAAGGUGCGGCUGGAUCACCUCCUUU